UCUUCUGUUGUUUAGGUUCCCUAUUCGCAUGGGAUUAGUAUUACCUGGCGACCUCUGGUCAUUUGUAAUAAUAAUGGUGUUGUCUGUAAUCUUAAUCCAGUGCGAAUCAGCCAUGUCUGUAAUUUGUCAAGUAAAAAUUCCCCCGCAAAUGACCUACCAUAAUUCGCC